GAUGAAGAACGUAGCGAAAUGCGAUAAGUAGUGUGAAUUGCAGAAUUCAGUGAAUCAUCGAAUCUUUGAACGCACAUUGCGCCCUUUGGUAUUCCAAAGGGCAUGCCUGUUCGAGCGUCAUUUGUACCCUCAAGCUUUGCUUGGUGUUGGGCGUCUUGUCUCUAGCUUUGCUGGAGACUCGCCUUAAAGUAAUUGGCAGCCGGCCUACUGGUUUCGGAGCGCAGCACAAGUCGCACUCUCUAUCAGCAAAGGUCUAGCAUCCAUUAAGCCUUUUUUUUCAACUUUUGACCUCGGAUCAGGUAGGGAUACCCGCUGAACUUAAGCAUAUCAAUAAGCGGAGU
rnacentral:misc_RNA from 1 species